UAUGAUGAUAAGCCCAUCUCUUUCAGAUAUCUGUGCUUAAUUAUGUGUAACAUAAUUUGGAACUUUAGGAAAUAAAGCCCAACUAGUAGAUUCAUGGUUUUUACCAGCCUAGUCUGCAUUUCACUGUAGCCUGAUAACAACAUUUCAAUUUUCCUUUAGGUUGGUUCAUGAGGUUUAAGGAAAGAAGCUGUCUCUAUAAUAUAAAACUGCAAGUUGAAGCAGCAAGUGCUAAU
rnacentral:lncRNA from 1 species